rnacentral:rRNA from 1 species
AACUACGAGCAUUAGCUUGAAACCCAAAGGACUUGGCGGUGCUUUAGACCCACCUAGAGGAGCCUGUCCUAGAACCGAUAACCCCCGUUCAACCUCACCUUUCCUUGUUUAUCCCGCCUAUAUACCGCCGUCGUCAGCUUACCCUGUGAAGGGCUUAUAGUAAGCAAAAUUGGCACAGCCCAAAACGUCAGGUCGAGGUGUAGCGUAUGGAAAGGGAAGAGAUGGGCUACAUUCCCUAAUGCAGCGAAUACGAAUGAUGAACUGAAAUACUCAUCCGAAGGAGGAUUUAGCAGUA